rnacentral:rRNA from 1 species
GACGAACGCUGGCGGCGUGCUUAACACAUGCAAGUCGAGCGGUAAGGCCCUUUCGGGGGUACGACGAGCGGCGAACGGGUGAGUAACACGUGGGUGACCUGCCCUCAGCUCUGGGAUAAGCCCGGGAAACUGGGUCUAAUACUGGAUAUUACUCUGCGGUGCAUGCCGUGGGGUGGAAAGCCUUGUGCGGCUGGGGAGUGGGCCCGCGGCCUAUCAGCUUGUUGGUGGGGUGAUGGCCUACCAAGGCGACGACGGGUAGCCGGCCUGAGAGGGCGACCGGCCACACUGGGACUGAGACACGGCCCAGACUCCUACGGGAGGCAGCAGUGGGGAAUCUUGCGCAAUGGGCGAAAGCCUGACGCAGCGACGCCGCGUGAGGGAUGACGGCCUGG